rnacentral:rRNA from 1 species
CCCUUAGAUGUCCUGGGCCGCACGCGCGUUACACUGAUGCAUUCAACGAGCUUAUAACCUUGUCCGAGAGGCCUGGGCAAUCUUGUUAACGUGCAUCGUGAUAGGGAUAGAUUAUUGAAAUUAUUAAUCUUGAACGAGGAAUUCCUAGUAAACGCAGAUCAUCAAUCUGCAUUGAUUACGUCCCUGCCCUUUGUACACACCGCCCGUCGCACCUACCGAUUGGAUGGUCCGGUGAAGCCUCGGGAUUGUGGUUCUUGCCGCUUUAUUGUGGCGUGACCGCGAGAACUUGUCUAAACCUUAUCAUCUAGAGGAAGGUGAAGUCGUAACA